GAGAGAGAGAGAGGAAGUUCUUGAGAGAAAAUCCCAAUCCGAUCAAAAUUCGAGUUCCGAAAUCCGAAGCUCAUGAAGAGAAAAUUGUUGUACGUCGCGUUGGCUUCAAUUUGAGCUAGAUAUCAGCCAAUAAGGAGAAGAUUUAGUUUGUUUGCUGCACACUUGAGGUUGAGAAAAUAUUGGGCAACAUAUUCGUAUAAACACUAAAGAUUCACCGAGUUCAUAAUGGGCCGGAUAUGAUAUAUGAUAUGAUCAUGCAUAAGGCACAGGUACAAAUAUUAAUUUCGGGGAUCCGCCAACUUAGAAUUUUCACUCAGUUAUUUUGGAAGUGCUCUAUUGUCCCGGAGCCUAGAAUUUCGAUAUAGAUAUUUUGAUGUAUAUAUUUAUUUAUCCAUGGGUAUGGCGGGGUCCUGUCCCGUCAUAUGUUACUGUUGAUAUUCUUAGAGGUCUGUAGACAUAUAUGUGGGUGGUAUAUAGAUGUUGUCCGGUGUACUAGUAUGGCUUAUGUUUUUGGACAUUUACAUUCGGAGUGGAAGCAUUGUCGGCUUACGUAUUAUGUUAUCGUAUUUUUGACAAUUAAGAUUCCCCACGAGAUAGGUGAUUUUGGUAAUAUAUAAGUGACAGUUUGAGACGAUGUGCUGCCCAUAUAAAUCCUGUAUCAUGUUUAAUUGCCGAUUGACUAUAGAUAAUAGGUAUGUAUAUGAGUGUCCAAUUCGGACACUAGUCAUGGCCCACGGGGUUAGGUCGUGACAUUACAUUUGAAUUGUAUUUUUG